rnacentral:rRNA from 1 species
AGAGUUUGAUCCUGGCUCAGGACGAACGCUGGCGGCAUGCCUAAUACAUGCAAGUAGAACGCUGAAGGAGGAGCUUGCUUCUCUGGAUGAGUUGCGAACGGGUGAGUAACGCGUAGGUAACCUGCCUGGUAGCGGGGGAUAACUAUUGGAAACGAUAGCUAAUACCGCAUAAGAGUAGAUGUUGCAUGACAUUUGCUUAAAAGGUGCACUUGCAUCACUACCAGAUGGACCUGCGUUGUAUUAGCUAGUUGGUGGGGUAAGGGCUCACCAAGGCGACGAUACAUAGCCGACCUGAGAGGGUGAUCGGCCACACUGGGACUGAGACACGGCACAGACUCCUACGGGAGGCAGCAGUAGGGAAUCUUCGGCAAUGGACGGAAGUCUGACCGAGACAACGCCGCGUGAGUGAAGUAAGGUUUUCGGAUCGUAAAGCUCUGUUGUAAGAGAAGAACGAGUGUGAGAGUGGAAAGUUCACACUGUGACGGUAUCUUACCAGAAAGGGACGGCUAACUACGUGCCAGCAGCCGCGGUAAUACGUAGGUCCCGAGCGUUGUCCGGAUUUAUUGGGCGUAAAGCGAGCGCAGGCGGUUAGAUAAGUCUGAAGUUAAAGGCUGUGGCUUAACCAUAGUAGGCUUUGGAAACUGUUUAACUUGAGUGCAAGAGGGGAGAGUGGAAUUCCAUGUGUAGCGGUGAAAUGCGUAGAUAUAUGGAGGAACACCGGUGGCGAAAGCGGCUCUCUGGCUUGUAACUGACGCUGAGGCUCGAAAGCGUGGGGAGCAAACAGGAUUAGAUACCCUGGUAGUCCACGCUGUAAACGAUGAGUGCUAGGUGUUAGACCCUUUCCGGGGUUUAGUGCCGUAGCUAACGCAUUAAGCACUCCGCCUGGGGAGUACGACCGCAAGGUUGAAACUCAAAGGAAUUGACGGGGGCCCGCACAAGCGGUGGAGCAUGUGGUUUAAUUCGAAGCAACGCGAAGAACCUUACCAGGUCUUGACAUCCCUCUGACCGCUCUAGAGAUAGAGUUUUCCUUCGGGACAGAGGUGACAGGUGGUGCAUGGUUGUCGUCAGCUCGUGUCGUGAGAUGUUGGGUUAAGUCCCGCAACGAGCGCAACCCCUAUUGUUAGUUGCCACCAUUUAGUUGGGCACUCUAGCGAGACUGCCGGUAAUAAACCGGAGGAAGUGGGGAUGACGUCAAAUCAUCAUGCCCCUUAUGACCUGGGCUACACACGUGCUACAAUGGCUGGUACAACGAGUCGCAAGCCGGUGACGGCAAGCUAAUCUCUUAAAGCCAGUCUCAGUUCGGAUUGUAGGCUGCAACUCGCCUACAUGAAGUCGGAAUCGCUAGUAAUCGCGGAUCAGCACGCCGCGGUGAAUACGUUCCCGGGCCUUGUACACACCGCCCGUCACACCACGAGAGUUUGUAACACCCGAAGUCGGUGAGGUAACCGUAAGGAGCCAGCCGCCUAAGGUGGGAUAGAUGAUUGGGGUGAAGUCGUAACAAGGUAGCCGUAUCGGAAGGUGCGGCUGGAUCACCU